GUGACCUUAAAGGAUUCCCAUUUACUGCGAUUAAGGAUCUACUAAGCAUCAUUUUUGCAUGACUACUACAAAAGGAUAUCUUUGCAGAAACCAGUUCCCUUUUGAAGUUCAUAGUUUGGACCCUGUUUUCAGAAAACAGGCCCAACCAGUGCUUACUUCAACCCUGCUUCCCGGUUCUGGCUCUUGGAGGCAUGCAAUGAUUACUCAAACUAUAGGUAAGAAAUACACAGGAAAGGAGGCAGAAAACAGAGCUUGAAACAUUUAGAUAAAUAAUAGAAGUCUAGAAUCUUGAAAACUAAAAGUGUCAGAUAAGACAAAUAUCACAGCAAUACAAAAUACAUUUAUUUAGUUUGUGCAAAAGUAUAGAGGUAACAAAAUUUAAGGAUCAGAACACAAAACACAAAAUUCCACAAGAAAUGCCAAUAGUUCCAACACAAUAAGUCAUGACUCUGUGUGUCAAUGUGGAACUACCAUUUUUAUGGAAAAAUUAUUCAUGUGUUUUUCUGUGUUGUCAUACUUUGACUUGCCAAUAUCAUCUUUGACUUUAAAGAUUUAUAUAAAUAGGAUUUUUUUUCUUUCUUUCUUUCUUUCUUUUUUUUUAUUUUUUUGGUGAGGAAGAUUCACCCUAAACUAACAUCCAUUGCCAAUCUUCCUCUUUCUUUUGCUUAAGGAAGAUUAGCCCUGUGCUAAGAUAUGUGUGAAUCUUCCUCUACUUUGUAUGUGGAUGCAACCCACAGCGUGGCUGAUGAAUGGAGUAUAUCUGUGCCCUGGACCUGAACCUGUGAACCCGGGCCACCAAAGUAGAGCACACAGAACUUUAAUCACUUGCCAUGGAGCCGGCCCCAGGAUUAUUUUCUUUUUAAUGAAAUAUUAAAUGUCGUUCUAAUACAAAUUGUUUCUGUAUUCCUGAUUUGAGUGAGUGUUGUGUGACUUUCUGGUCAACUACCUAAACAUUAGCAAAGCCAAAAGGAUCUGUAUGAAGCAAUAAUGGAUAGUCAUUGCAUUUUUAAGAAAUACUUUCUGUGAAGUCAUAUUCACUUGCACCAGAGCUGUGUCAUUGACUACUUUUAGGCCAAAUUAGUAAAACCUGUAAUAAGAGCAAUAGCUAAAAUUCAUCAUUCACUUACUAAGCAUCAGAAGCUAUUUUGUGAUUGAUGCUCACAACAACUUUCUAAUUCAAGGCUAUUAAUAUGUCUAAGGUAAAUUAAAGCAGUAAGAGAUCAAGGAGUAAGUAGUUGAGGGGUUUCAAACCUAUACAAUCUGGUUCUACUCUCAACUUUUAACCACAGCUCUUUUCUGCCACACUGUGAAAACUCGACAGUCUCCAGUUUCUCAAUCCUACCUAUCAAAACACAAGUUCUCUGAAGCCAUGUUACCUCUAUGGUGCCAUGCUAAAAAUUCUAGAUAUUUGGGAUAAAAUUUCCUGAUAGUUUUUUGGAAGUCAUCUUAGUUUGGGUUCCCCCAUUAACACACUGAUAAAGAGACUUUGGUAUUGAUAGUUUACCAGGGAGGUGAUCCCAGGAGGUACAAGUGAGAGAGUGGGGAAAGAAAAACAUAGGAAGGAGAAAAUUCAGGAAGAACACAGUAAUGAGCAGGUCAAUAGAUACAAGUAAUUGGAGCUCCAUUCUGCACCAACUGCCCUCUGAGUUUUCACAUAGAACAUAUCUCAGAAUUGUUGCACCAAAGAGGUGGGAAACUGGUAUAAAUGUGUCUCUUAUGGGUCUCAUUGGUUGAGGGUUGACUUUUGGAGCAGGAAAUCCUGGGGCCAUUUUGGGCUGUGCUGCAUUGGCUGAAAAAGCUUGCAUGGUGCUAGAGAAAAGCUUGAAGCAGAGAAGCAAGGAUCCAGUGCAGACCCUUGAGGAGGGAAAAUGUCAGUGAAUACAAGAACUGUCCUCUGUGACUGUGGGUAGACUGAGGAGUUAUGGUUAGGGACAUCAACAGCAUCUACUACUGAGAUAUAAUUACAACAUGGUCAGAAACUCUUCAAAUCCAGUAAAUCCUACAACAAAUUUCUUCUGUGAAUAUGUGAGCCUUUUCACCCUAACCUUAGUCUUGGGCUAAAAGUAACUUUUGCUUUCAGACUGAUUCUAUCCUUCAAUUUAUUGGAGGGAUAUGUCUGCACACACUAAUAUUCAACAAACAUGAACUAAAUUUCUGUAUCUAGUUUUAUCAAAUACUAGGACAGUUCUGUCAAAAAUAUCAAUCAAAUUAACUAUUAGAUAAAUUAUAGUCAACAUAAAUUGUUUAACAGAAUGUUUCACUUUUUUGCAAUGUGCUCAUACCGUGAAUGAAGAAUCUGAGUGAGUAUAACUGGUGUGCUCAGAGUUGCUUGAAUGAUGUGGCCUCACAUAGCUUUACCAGGCAGGAUAGAAACUGUUAUGGCAUGCCUUAGCUAAUAUUUAUUUUAUAAUUUGUCUUAUAUUCCCACUGCUAUUACCUGUAUUGUGACAUAAAGGCUAUUUUUCUUAUUUAUUUCACAAUUUUAUUUAUGUCAAUGAAUUAAACAAUUAGGAAUAAGAACUAAAUUGUUCAGAUAAACAGUUGCUAUGGAAAGAGGAACAAUAUGACAAUAAGGUAGUGAAAGGGCAACAUUCUUAGGAGUACAGAUUUUUACCAGAAUUACGAAGUCUUAAGUCAUAACUAAAUAUUCAGAUCAUUGUGUUUUGUAUGCUUGAAGUUUACACUUAAAAUUUAAGUGGACUCAAAGUUACUUUAACUAAGUCUUUAAGGAGAAUAAUUUUAAAAUCACAUGAGGAUACUUACAGAGCAUUUUUUAAUACUUUUUGGGGUUGUGAGGGAAAUCAUAGUGUAAGUUUUUGAUUAUUUUUCUCUGUAGUUUAUUUUGAUAGAGACAGUACAUUCAGUCUUUUGGUAAUAUUCAACCAUAUGAGAAAUGAGAAUAAGCAUAAUCUUAGAAGAGACUUUUGAAAUGCAUAUUAUACACAUAGAAUUUAAAUAGGGUUAUACAUACUACAUUAAAAAUAGUAAGCUACACACUUUUUUCAAGUAUCUGUUUUUUUCUACUUGAAGCUUUUCAAAGAAUAAAGAUGAAAUUGUGU
rnacentral:lncRNA from 1 species